rnacentral:rRNA from 1 species
UACGUAGGCAGCGAGCGUUGUUCGGAUUCAUUGGGCGUAAAGGGUGCGUAGGUGGCGCCGUAAGUCGGGUGUGAAAUUUCGGAGCUUAACUCCGAAACUGCAUUCGAUACUGCGGUGCUUGAGGACUGGAGAGGAGACUGGAAUUCAUGGUGUAGCAGUGAAAUGCGUAGAGAUCAUGAGGAAGACCAGUGGCGAAGGCGGGUCUCUGGACAGUUCCUGACACUGAGGCACGAAGGCCAGGGGAGCAAACGGG